AGACAGUUGGACCAGAACGGUAUUUAGUCAGAAUGUUUACAGAAGGGAGAGCGGAACCUCAAACGCAGCUCAGUUCAGGAGGAGCCGAGACGGAGAAACAACCAGAGACCAGCAGCCAAGUGGCAGAGACUGAAAGCUGCUAAAUCCUCAGUCUAGGAUCAAAGCCACCAUAAUGGCAGUGGCAAGGCAGUGAGAAGGAAGAUCCUGGUCCCAUGGAUGAAGGAUGCAAGGAAAAUGGAGACGGUGGAUAUUUCCACUCCAGGCUAUACCUUGUUAUCUCCUAAGUGCAGAGAAUGCCAAAAAAAUCUCCACACAGGACAACACUACUCAGCUGGGAUAGCCUGCACCCCCUCCUUCUGCAGUAGACCAGACAGGCCACGAGGUCAUUGAGAGAAAGGGAAACUUCAGUGGGCCUUGAAGUUAUGCUGGUGCUUCGAGUGCAAGGUAAAUCAGAGCUUUAAAUUCUCAACCCUGAGGCUUAAACCUCAACGUGAUGCUCAACUUCUCUUCCGUCUCUAUGCUGCCAAACGCUGUUGCUUCUUACUGGUGUUCCUAACCCGCUGCUCUUCAGCUUUUCUGCAGCUUGGAGGGGAUUCACACCUGGGGCAGGGUUUCUGGUCUCAUACUGAGAGACUGAACAUCAGAGAGAGGGAAAAGCGAGCGGGCUGAUGAACAGUAGAGAAGAUAGUGAAGCGAGCAUGGCUUCAAUGGCCAACAUGUCCAUGUCCUGGACAUCGGGGAGGAUUUCUCUGGGCAUGCAGGCAGCCCCCCUAGGUCGUUCCUGGUCUGUUUUGCUUUGUUUUACCUGAGAUGAUUUCUAAAGCAGACUGCCAUACCUUCCUCUCAGAAGUCAUGGCUACGUAAUCAUUAUGUUUAAUUCAUACAGUACCCAGCUGAUACUCCCUUCCUCAUUGUUCUCACAGAAACACGAAGGGGCAAGCAUGGAGAAGAAACAUCAUGAACAGGAAAGUGACCUGAAAGGGAGAAAAUUUCCUUCGUGAAUUUUUUACACAAAUAGAAAGAACAGAUUAGUUAUGGCAGAAAAAUGAAUAAGUGACAAAGAUCAAGCUCAAGAAAAUCUCCCAGGAUCUCUUUAUUUUUUUAGAAUAAAGAGAUAAAAAUUAUUAGAGAACAGGUGAGACAUAAAAAACAGAUAUUUACUACUCAAAAAAAUAUACGUAACAGCGAUUUCACAAGGAGAGAAGAGACAAGCCAGAAUUGUAGCAUUCAGCAAUUUAGCACAGACUUUAUGAGAAAAGAGUGCAAAAUCAGAGAUACCCAGGCUUGAAUCUGAGCUCUGGCGCUUUUAACUGUGAAAACUUGGACAAUUUCCUUCUCUAUUUCAGUUUUUUGGUUUUAUGAAAUGAGUUAUAAUAAUAGUCUAAACUUUCAGGGUAUUUGGGGAAAUUAUGUGAGGUGAUGUUUGUAAAAUAAUUUGCAUGAGGUUAACAGGUAAUAAGCAUUCAAUAAAUAUCACCUGUUAGGGGCUAAACUGUGUCCCCCCAAAAUUCCUAUGUUGAAGCCCAAACCCCCAGUACUCAGAAUAUGACUAUGUUUGGAGACAGGGUCUUUGAAGAGGUAACCAAGUUAAAAUGUGGCCAUUAGGGUGGGCCCGAAUCCAGUCUUACUGGUGUCCUGAGAAGAAGAAAUGUGGACGCACGGACACCAAGAAUGAAUGCCCAUGCACAGAGGAAAGAUACAGUGGGAAGGCACCAUCUGCAAGCCAAGGAGAGCAGCCUCAGGAGAAACCAAACCUGCCAGCACCUUGAUCUUGGACUUCAGUCUCCAGAACUGUGAGAAAAUAAGCAUCUGAGGUUAAGCCCCCUAGUCGGUGGUAUUUUGUUAUGGCAGCCUUAGCAGACUAAUUCAUCACCUCUUGUUGUUAUUAUUUUUAAAUCCAGAUGUGAAGCUGAGGAUCAGGAUGCUCUUGGUUUCCCAUACUGAUAAAGGCUCCUGGACGAACCGUGCAGAGGAAGCCAAAAUCCACAUUCCUUUUCAGCCCUGUAACAUCGGCUGGCCGGCUACAGAGACCAUCACUGUAUGACUCACGCCGGUUCUCGUCUCAGUGUAGGGUGCAGAUCUCUGCAGAAACCAGCUGACAAUUGCUAUGAGUCAACAGCAGGGGAGUCCCUGAGAUUUGGAGCCCUGCUGCUUUUUCCAGCCCCCAGCUCCUAUGGGCAGGCUGAGAGCAUGUCACCCCAAAAUCACGAGGUUUUCCCUUCGUUUCCAAAUCAUCGCAAUUGCCCUUCCAUCACCCUCUUGAAGGUCAGAGGGUGAGAUUCCACCAAAGUCUGCAACAGAUGUGGUUUUAAAAUAGCCCCUUCAGAAGCCCACAAUUAAAACCUAAUUACAUAUCUUUGCCAAUUAGUGAAGGAGUUGCCGUUUCUAGUGAUGGCAGAGUCCCCAAAAAUCCAUAAUCUGAAAAAAAGGAUGUCUGCUUCCCAUUUUCCCCCCAAUAACCUACUCUUCCUUCAGUGGCAAGAGCCUGUGAACCUCUGCCAUGAUUUGCAACCUUGGAAAAAUUACUUAACCUCCAAUCCUGAUGAAUUAUCUAUACAAUGGUGCUAACACCUGUUGUUAGGAGAAUCAAAUGAGACCCUUCAUUCAGCCAAUACUUGAGUGACAUGCUAUGCCUUCAUUCUUUCAUUCAACAAAUAUUUACUGAACAUCUGCUACAUACCAAUGCAUGGGGGGUACAGCAAUGAAGAAUACCUAGGUGGGGCUCAGCUCCCAUAGAGCUUAACUUCUCAGAGGGAGACAAAAAACAAGCAGACAAACAAGAUAACUUCAGACGGUGAUAUGCUAUUCAGGAAACAAUUCGAAGUAAUGAGAUGAAAACUGACCGGGGGUAGGUUAGAGGUGGCCUGUCAUAGAAGGCUUCUCAGAGGCCUGAAUGACAGGUCACACAUGUGAGGACCUGGGCAAAGAAUGUGUUACCAGAAGAAGGUAAAGGGAAUGGCAGGUGCAGAGGUUCUGGAAGGAGAGACAGAUUUAAAGAACAGAAAGAAGGGCAGUGGGGAGAGGGGGAGGAGCCCCAGGAGAGGCUGGAGAGGUGGGCAGAGGCCAGAUCGCAAAGGAUCUUUGUGGACAUGGAAAGUAUGAUCAUUCUGUGAUGGAAAGUAUGGAAAGUUCUUUGGUCCACACAAACCAGAGAACUGAAAGACCAGUAGCUUGACCUGAGUUAAGACAGAGGAUGAGCGUUUGAAGAUGGGGUUUGAGAUCACUCAGGGCCCCCUGGCUUUGGUCAGAAGUUUGGAUUUAACUCAGGGUCUAACGCAAUGGUUCCUGGUACUGACUGUGCAUUGGAAUCACCCAGGAAGCUUUAAACAAACACUGAUGUCUGGCCCCACCCCCACCAAUUCUGAUAUAAUUUGGAGUGCAGCCUGGGCAUGUGGGGUUUUUUUAAAGCUCCCCCGUGAUUCUGAUGGAGAGCCAAGGUUGACCACUGGAAUGAGAAGUCACUGGAGGAGGGUUUUAAGCAGGAGAGUGACAUGAUUUGAAUUCUCCCUAGGAGAGAUCAUGCUGGCUGCCACAUAAACAGAUAACACCCCCACAGCAGUGCCAGGGACCUAGUUGGUACCCAAGAUUCGCUUCCCUCCCCGUAUCCUUCCAAUCUUUCAGAAAUUUGGAAUUGUGGAACAUUGCAGAGAGAAAGCCCAACCAGAUGUUAAGAGGGAAGUACCUCACGGGAUCCGCCUCCAGCUAGAGACGGCCUUUUCCUUUCUCUGUUCUUGGAAUUGUCCAUCCCUCCUCCUCCAGGCCUGGAGCCUCACAUCCUGUGUUUUUCAGAUCCAAACUGUGUACAUUCUUUGACAGCCCUGAGGACCCCCAGCCCCCAGCAGAGCAGCUCCAAGGAACAUUCAGCAGCAACUUAGUGAGUUUAUUUUGAUGAAAUACAAUAAUUAUGCUUAGCAGCUGUUGCUAUUUAAAAUAAGAAAAACCUGGGCUUGAAUUUCAACUGUUUGGUAAAGCAUGUGCCCCACCAAUCUGGUCCAACAAAAUCAGACAUUCUGAAAUCCACAGAAGAACUGGAGCUUGUUACAGGAAGUUAAGAUGCAAAUCAUAUUUUGUUUGAAAUGAGCCCGAUGAAUGCAUAAUUUUCCACAAAGAAAUACUUUUGUGUCAGGAUCCUUUUGCCAAGAACCGAAGUUCUUGGGCUGCAGCUGUUAGCAGUGUCUGAUUGUCCAUUUCAGACUGCAGGCAGUUCUGCUUUUCUAAGAGGGAUUUGAAGCAAAGACAGGAAGAGGACAGAGCUACUCUCGUCAAUUGUCUUCCAGAAUAUUCUCUAUAAGAGCUGCCUAUGCUUCCCAGAUGAUCAUACUCAUCCUCAGAAUUUGCAGAGACUGGACCCCAUGGUGAAUUAUUAGCUACUCACCGCUUAAUGUUCAUUCAGAAGGGGCUUUUUCCCCUCUCUCCCAGCACCUUUUCUGAGCUUGGGGUCAUUCUAUUUGUCGGAAGUCUUUUGACUUCAAGCGGAAGAAAUCCAAUUCGAAUUAAAUAAACACACAAGAUAAGACAGGAGAGGAAUGAUUUGUUCUUGCAACUGGAAAGUCCAAGCAUGGUUUGGCUUCAGGUACACUGGAUGCAGGUUGAGAGGAACAGGAGAAGGAGCAGGUGGUGGACCAGUCAGAGGAGUACUGAGCAGCUCUGUGGGCCCAGCUUUUGUUGCCAUGGGUUUGCAAGGCACCAGUUUCCAAUUUGUGUGAUUUUUCUCCAGGUGUAGAUGCAGAAAGGCUGAUUGAGGAAUUUGGAUUGAGUUUGGCUUGACAGGUAUGACGAAAAGAUAGAAGUCGAGAAGAACAAGAGAAAUGAUCAUUUCAGAUGACCACCCCCAAGAUGAGUCUGAGCUUGAGAAGGGGCGAAGAGGCAUGAGACGGGGGCCAGUGGACUGGGAGAGAAUGGGGCACUGGAGGUCACUACAAGGUGGAAGGAUAGGUGUUGUGGGAGGAAUGGGAACAAGAGCUCUGGAAGGACAGGAGAUGACAGACACUGAGGGGUGUGAUAAGGACAAAUCAUAGGGUAAAUAUUUACAAUCUCCCACCCACACCCAUUUUCCAAGGAGGGGAGGUUCUUUGAUUGUUUGAUCUGCUGCUGGGGCAAUGGAUGAAGAUGCAGAACACAUGAAGAACUCUACACAAGGGCAUUUUAAAAAGACAGGUCCAACUUGAGGCAGAGGAGAAUAAGCAGCUGGCAAGAGGAGGCAAAGAGGAACGGGAGGGUGAGACAGGAGAAGGAAGAGGCCUGGGAGUUUUGAGUGGGCUGCAAGGACAAGAGAUAAAGAACUGCCAUAGAUGUGGGACUCUGGGGAGACAGUGGAGAUCAUUUUUAGGAAGUCUUCCUGGAUAUUGUCUGAUGUAGCCUGCCCCUCUGCCACUGUCUCAAGACCCUUUCAGUAAGGACUCACAGUGUUUUUCAUGGCUCUCUGGAGAAGGAGUAUUUCUUUUGCUUGUGAUACCAUGCUGAGAAAUAGGCUUGAGGAAACUUGGUUUUACCGUGUUUAGAGUGAGAUAUAGCACUGUAAGAUUUUUAAGAUGGAGUCCAUGCGGGCCCACGCUGUAGCUGUGGAAAAGGGCUGAAAUGAGGUGGAGGUGAAAGUCAAAAGAAUCAAGGUCAGAGGACUUUUAGGCUAGAGAACCAGAUGAACAAUGCAGGUGACUGUCAGUAUUUGGCUUGAAAAUGAAGACUCUGGACCAGGUCCCAAAGUCUUCAGUGAGGAGUAUCUAGGAAGUAGGUGAAUGACAGCAACCAGAGGGAGGAUGUGGUAUAAUCCGACGGUGGGAGUCUCAAAGGAGUGGGGAUGUUGACAUGCCUGUGGAAAGAGCACUGAGAAUAAGGGCUCCAACAUCCUCCUUCUGACCCAGAACAAGUGGGGUGUGGACAAUGAGGAACCCCUAUUUGCAAGAGCUGCAGGAGGAAGUGAAAUCCUGGAAGAAGAGUCAAGUUUCAGUUAAAACAGGUUCAUGGAGAGGUGGAAGAUGUUUACCUUGGAACUGGGCACAAGAAGGGUUACGAGGGAGGGGAGAAGUGGGGGGUUGGGAUCAAAAAAGCGGAAGCAGAGAGUUGGCUUUUCAUUGGCUGGCUCCUUCUCAGCUCACAAAUUACCUCCUUGAUCUCGCCAUCUACUCUCUCCAUCUGCCUCCACAGGUACUAUAGAGCAUUUCUGCCUGUUUAUUUCCUUCAUAUUAUUUAAUUCUAAAUAAAUAACUAAAUGUAUUUAUUGUCUGGUUCCCCAAUCAACAACAACCACCACUGCAAUGUAAACUCCAUGAAAGUAGGAACCUUGUUUAUUUAUUUACUGCCUUAUCCCCAGUGCCUGGCAUCUAAUAAGCACUCAAUAUAUAUAUAUGUUGAAGGAGUUAGUUAAUGAACAGAUCAAUGAAUGAAUGAGUGAAUGAAUGAAGGAAUAAGUAGCCCUAGGAGGUUGGGAGGAUAAAAGAGCAUGGGAGUCCCUGAAGCUUCCACAUUUGGUGAGGGGCCCUGGGAUACAGGGAUUUGUACCCUGGUGUGCCUGGAGUUUCCUAGUUCAACUCCUGAGGAUGGAACCUUCCUGGCCUCGUUGCUGUGUCUUGGGAAGUAAACCUUAAGGAGAGAUACACUUGCUUAAAUCCACACUCUCGCAUUGGUAUGUGUUAGCACCAAGUUCUAGCCUAAAAAUACUCCUCUCUGAUAUCAAGGACAAAAUUUAUAAACGUGAAAGUGGUUAUUAUGGUUUAAUCACAGGCUUGGUGGUAGUGACUCUUGGCAAUCUCUCUGGGGUAUCAACAAGAGAAGAGUAAAUAUGUCAUGUAGGUGGUAUUUUUAGUCUCACCCACCCUUCCAAGCCAAACGGGAACAUCCCUACUGAAGGUCCUUGUGACUCCCUGGGCCCCACCCCAGUCCUUGCUGCCCAGAAACCAAGUCGUGGGGGUUAUGGUGGCAGCCGCUAAGCAAAGUAGAGCAAGGGGGUCUGGUGGCUGCUACCUGGGACCCAGCUCAUUCCUUGUCGGACAGACACCAGGGUCCUGGCUCUUGGGUCAAUAGCCCAACCUAUGCUUCCCAAUUCCUGUGGGCAACUCACACACCUCUUCCCCAGAGGGAGGCUAGGCCAAAAGUUACAUAUAUCCCAUGGGAAUGAAAAGGCCCAUCCCUUGAAAACCCCCCUUCUGUGACCUUCUUCCCCAGGAUUGUCAGCUUCACCAAAAAAAGGACAAACAAUCCUUGACUGAGCCCUAGAGCCAUGAACCCAUCCCAAAGAGUCUCCCAAACUAUGUCUCUUCUGUUCAGUGCCGGGUUUUAGACAUGAAGUCAACCCUCCAUUCUGAAGGUGGGCUCCAUGACAGGCAUUGCUCAGGGCAUCAUGGUGGUUGGCACGUGGUCAGGAACUAGACUGCCUCUCCCCACACCCCGUGGAUGAGGAGGACACAUUUGGGGAACACUUGCAGUGUACUAAGUGCUAAGUGUACACUGUGCUAAGUGCUUUAUAUGCAUCGUCUCAUUCAGUCCUCAUAACAGCCUUAUGAAAUAGUAUGGAUAUUCUUCCCAUAUUAUUUAUAUAUAUAUUAUAUUUAUUAUAUCCAUUUCCCAGAGUCACAUAGCAAGUGGGAUUUUGAACCUGGGCAAGCUCUUUCUCAAGCCUUUGCCCUUACAUACGAUGAGGUUUUGUCUGAAUUGCCCAUCUGCCCUCCCCAGGAGUUUAUGGUCUACAGAAUGUAUUGUUUCAGCCCAACAACAAUCACAUACUUCGAUUCCGUUUGUUUUCAUUGGGGAACAAACUUCUCUCACUGUAAGAACAUGAGGUUCUGGGGCCGGUCCCAUGGCCGGGUGAUUAAGUUCGCGUGCUCUGCUUCAGCGGCUCAAGGUUUCACCGGUUCGGAUCCUGGGCACCGACACAGCACCGCUGGUCAGGCCACACUGAGGCAGUGACCCACAUGCCACAACUAGAAGGACCCACAACUGAAAUAUGCAACUAUGUACUGAGGGGGUUUGGAGAGAAGAAGUAAAAAUAAAAAAAUUAAAAAUUAAAAUAAAAAAAUUAAAUUAAAUUAAAAAAAGAACAUGUAUUUGUGAUGGAGCUGACUCCACCCUCAGCCCCAGAGGUGGCCUGUGGCCCAGGCCCAGCCGAUCAGAGCGUACCAUUUCCCUUGAUCCCAAAGGGAUCAGUGGGAUUGGUCCAUGUGUAUGGUCCUAUAAGAGACAAUACAGAUCCUUGUUGUCCUUGAGGCCACCUUCUCUGCUGACUUGCUGUAUGACUUGUGUAUGACCUUGGGCGAGUCAUUUACCUCUGUGGGUGUCUGUUUGAAAAUGUUACAUGAGAUCAGAGCUACUCGCACUGUGGACUGGGGCAGCUGGCCUCCCCUAAAGUUUGAUAGAGAAUGCUUGGGCGCUACCCAGAGCUCCCAUAUCAGAAUUUCCCGGGCAGGGGCCCAGAAUGUAUGCUUUAACAAGCCCUCCACGAGAGUCUAACGCAUACUGAGGUUUGAGAAGCACUAGAUAAGCUGGUCUCUGAGUCUAUGAGUCUAUCAACCAUUGCGCAAAGAGAAUCAGGAAAAACAGAGGAGGGUCCAGCAUUGACAACCAUUCCUUUUCCCUCUUUCUUUUCUCUUCCGUUUUCACUUUCUACCACCUCCUACUUUUGCCUCAGAGGCUCUCCCAUGCUGCUCUGGGGCAGCAGGAAAUGUGUGGGGAGUCUCAUGCCCUUUCUGCCUAGCCACUACCAAGCCAUCACUCCUAGGUUAUGGCUGUCACAGCAUGCCGGCACCUGGUAGAUUUAAGAAUGUAAGCAGGAGCUGCAUCUAUUGGUUCAUGGCUAUAUCCUUGGCUCCUAGAACAGUGCCUCGCAUAUGAUUGGCCCUCGUUAAGUAUUUGUUGAAUGAAUAAAUGAGGGCUAUCUCCUCCCCAAGACCCCCUGGAUGUGAUACAGAAAUUCCCAAACCUAAGAGUCUGUAUUAGUCUGCUCUGGCAGCCAGAACUAAAUACUACAAACUGAGUGGUUUAAACAACCGAAAUUUAUUUUCUCAUCGUCUGGAGGCUGGGAAGUCUGAAAUCAAGGUCCAACAGGGUUCAUUUUCUGGCGAGGGCCCUCUUCCUGGCCCACAGACAGUUGCCUUCUCGCUGUGUCCCCUUAUGGCCUUUCCUCCGUUCACAUGCAUGGAGAGAAAGAGAGAGGACAAACCUUCCGGUGUCUCUUCUUAUAAGGACACUAAUCCUGUCGGAUUGGGGCCCCACCUUUACAACCUCAUUUAACCUUAAUACUUCCUUUUUCCAAACAGAGCCACACUGGGGAUUAGGGCGUCAACAUCAGAGUUUUGGGGGGACACAAGCAUUCAGUCUCUAACAGAGUCCGAAUCAUUUCUCCUUCCCAUUGCAAAGGCCCCCGCCUCUGUCUCAUUCUCACACUUUCUUCUACUCUUCAUCUCUGCCCCAGCCCAGGGAAUUUUCACCUCCUCUAGAGCAGGGAAAAUUGGCUAAGCAAAUAGUCUUCUAAAUCUGAGGUAGAGACCACGAUCUCAGCUUUAGGAGUUCAAAAGCCAUUCCUCCAUGACAUUCUCCAUUAAGGCUACAGAUGCUUUGUUUCUCAUUGUCCAGGUGGAGGGGGGUCAUUGGGUAAGGGGAACCUCACUGUGCGCAGACAGAUGCCCAGGUGGGUUUGCCUCUUGCUUGGAGGGUCCCUGGACGCCAUGAGCUCUCCUGCAGACCCGUUCUCUCCUUCUUUCCGGGUGCGUGGCUGAGCUACACGUCCCCUGCCUCCCUUGCGGUUAGGUGUUAUGACAUUUCAGUUCUUGCCAAUGGACUCAAGUGGAAGUGAUCUGUGCCCAGACCUUGAGCCUGGGCGUGGCUCCUCUGUGUCCUUUCCCUUUCUCACUGGCUGGAAUCCUUGACUGUGCAUACAGGGUUAGUGGCCUAACAUGGCAAAGCAUCAUGAUGGAAGGAACUUGGGUCCCAGGAAAAUCAUGCAGAUUAGAGCCAUCCUGCUGAUCAGAACUGCUGCCUCGGAACUGUUACAUGAGAGAGAACCAGCUAUCUGUAAGCCACAUAUUGCUGGAUAUUUAUGAUAUAGCAACUUAGCAUUUUGUACCCUAACUAAGGCAAGGGUCUAGAGGUCUUG
rnacentral:lncRNA from 1 species